UACGUAGGGGGCGAGCGUUGUCCGGAUUUAUUGGGCGUAAAGAGCUCGUAGGCGGUUUGGUAAGUCGGGUGUGAAAUCUCCACGCUCAACGUGGAGGGGCCACUCGAUACUGCCAUGACUCGAGUCCGGUAGAGGAGUGUGGAAUUCCUGGUGUAGCGGUGAAAUGCGCAGAUAUCAGGAGGAACACCAACGGCGAAGGCAGCACUCUGGGCCGGUACUGACGCUGAGGAGCGAAAGCGUGGGGAGCAAACAGG
rnacentral:rRNA from 1 species